UGAAUAGCCCAGGGAUUCAGGAUCUUGCCCAGUCUGACCAGAGGGCUUGCUCCCAUUUACCUGAAAGGGAAACCAGGACUAUAGCUGCAUCAUCAUGGAUACAGGUGAAACUGGGAGCAGCUCCUCACCUGAGCUAUGCCUAGUGAACCACCAGCAGGGUCCCUCUGAUUUACUGAGGAGAGUGAAUGUGAGCUGUGAGGGACAGAACUGAAAAAGCAGCACCAUCCACUGGGAGCACAAAGCAAACCUGAGGACUUAUUCCUGGCAUGUGAACUGCAGAAGCAAGAAGACUUUGUGCCAUCUGCUGACACCUAAACAAGUAUGACAAACUUUUUUCUUUCAAGUGAUAAAUUAAAAAUAAAAAUAAUAAAAAAUAAUAUGGUAAAA